rnacentral:rRNA from 1 species
UACGUAGGGGGCAAGCGUUGUCCGGAUUUACUGGGCGUAAAGAGCGUGUAGGCGGCCAAGCAGGUCCGUUGUGAAAACUGGAGGCUUAACCUCCAGACGUCGACGGAAACCGCGCGGCUAGCGUCCGGAAGAGGAGAGUGGAAUUCCUGGUGUAGCGGUGGAAUGCGCAGAUAUCAGGAGGAACACCGAUGGCGAAGGCAGCUCGCUGGGACGGUACUGACGCUGAGGCGCGAAAGCGUGGGGAGCGAACAGG